AAGAAUAACAAAAAAAAAUAAAAAAAUAGCAGAUGAAAGGAAAACACAUGCAAAAGGAAAGGAAAACACAGGGAAACAAGUACAGAGAAAUAAAGGUUACAACUUAAAGGAAAGAAGAAAAAAUACCUUACUUAUUCUAAUUGAUUCUGUUAGUUUUUUAUGGGGUUUUAAUUUGUUUCUAUUUGUUUUGGGAUGGGUUUAAGAUUCUUCACGAUUUUACUGCUGGUUUGUUUCCUUCUCUGUUUUCACUCUUAGAUCUAUUCAAAAAAAAUCCCUCCCCUCUCUUUGAUUUUUUGGACCCAAUUUAUAGCUAAAACAAUGAAUAUUUAUGUUCAUUAGAUAAAUCUAAUAUCUAAGUUUUGUAUUAUUUCUUAACUGGAUUUUGCAUUGUUUUGUGAUAAAUUUUGAGCAAGGUACGGUUUCUACCUUUUUCCAUUGAGUGCACAGAUAGUUAACUGUUACAAAUAAUUUCU
rnacentral:lncRNA from 1 species